rnacentral:rRNA from 1 species
AUUGAACGCUGGCGGCAGGCCUAACACAUGCAAGUCGAACGAGUGGCGGACGGGUGAGUAAUGUCUGGGAAACUGCCUGAUUGAGGGGGAUAACUACUGGAAACGGUAGCUAAUACCGCAUACCAUCAGAUGUGCCCAGAUGGGCUUGGCUUGUUGGUGGGGUAACGGGUCACCAAGGCGACGAUCCCUAGCUGGUCUGCGAGGAUGACCAGCCAAACUGGAACUGAGAAACGGUCCAGACUCCUACGGGAGGCAGCAGGGGGGAAUAUUGCACAAUGGGCGCAAACCUGAUGCAGCCAUGCCGGGUGUAUGAAGAAGGCCUUCGGGUUGUAAAGUACUUUCAGCGGGGAGGCGUUACACGAAGAAGAAGCACCGGCUAACUCCGUGCCAGCCGCCGCGGUAAUACC